GACGAACGCUGGCGGCGUGCUUAACACAUGCAAGUCGAACGAUGAAGAAAAGAAUCGAAGCUUCAGCAGAAAUUCAUUUCGGAUUAGUGGCAGACGGGUGAGUAACGCGUGAGCAACCUACCUCUUACAAAGGGAUAGCCUCGGGAAACCGGGAUUAAUACCAUAUAACAUUGCGACGAAGCAUUUCGAUGCAAUCAAAGCUACGGCGGUAAGAGAUGGGCUCGCGUCCCAUUAACCGGAUGGUGAGGUAACGGCUCACCAUAGUGACGAUGGGUAACCGGCCUGAGAGGGUGAACGGUCACACUGGAACUGAGACACGGUCCAGACUCCUACGGGAGGCAGCAGUGGGGAAUAUUGCACAAUGGAGGGAACUCUGAUGCAGCGACGCCGCGUGAGUGAUGAAGGAAUUCGUUUCGUAAAACUCUGUUCUAUGGGAAGAAAAGGACUGUACCAUAGGAGAAAGCUCCGGCUAAAUACGUG
rnacentral:rRNA from 1 species